rnacentral:misc_RNA from 1 species
GGGAGCAACAACAGUUCCCUGAGGAUGUUUGGAUGCUGCCUCAAAACCAGGCUUAUGUUGUGAUUCAUCUUCAUCUGCUAAAUUAACCCCCAACUUCUGUUUAAAGUGAUGGUGAUGUGACCCAUGCCAUAUAUGCACAUGCUUUGUCUGAUCCUUUGAAUAAAUAGCCAGGCGAACUUCCAUGAUAACACCGUCAACUUCAACUCUGAAAUUAUGUUUUCCAAGGUGGGCUACUUUAACUUCAACUGCAGAAGAACCACUUUCUGCAUUCUCAAUGAGAAAGCCCCCAUCCUGCUGGUAGGUGAUUGUAAGUGGAAACGGCUUUGAGGCACUGCUAUCAUAUUGAUUCUCCCACUCAAAUUCUAUUGUGCGACUAGCACAAUGAUGGACUCUAAUGGAGGAGGAGAGU